AUUGAACGCUGGCGGCAUGCCUUACACAUGCAAGUCGAACGGUAACGGGCCUUCGGGUGCCGACGAGUGGCGAACGGGUGAGUAAUGCAUCGGAACGUACCAUUGAGUGGGGGAUAACUAUCCGAAAGGAUAGCUAAUACCGCAUAUUCUCUUUGGUGGAAAGCAGGGGAUCGCAAGGCCUUGCGCUCUUUGAGCGGCCGAUGUCAGAUUAGCUAGUUGGUGGGGUAAGAGCCCACCAAGGCGACGAUCUGUAGCGGGUCUGAGAGGAUGAUCCGCCACACUGGGACUGAGACACGGCCCAGACUCCUACGGGAGGCAGCAGUGGGGAAUUUUGGACAAUGGGGGCAACCCUGAUCCAGCCAUGCCGCGUGAGUGAAGAAGGCCUUCGGGUUGUAAAGCUCUUUCGGCCGGGAAGAAAUCGGAGUGGCUAAUAUCUGCUCUGGAUGACGGUACCGGACUAAGAAGCACCGGCUAACUACGUGCCAGCCGCCGCUGUAA
rnacentral:rRNA from 1 species